UGCAGGCAGAAGAAAGAGCAGAAGGGAACAUUCCGUGUCACAGCGGGACUCUGGAAUCCACCUGCCAGGAGACUUAACAACGCGGCGCUGCGUCACACACCUCCUGGGUCCCCCCAUUAUAUUGUCCCCACCCCCGGCACAUGCAAAUGAGCUCCCCGGGGCCCUGUUCAUAGCCCAGUCCCGGCCGCUCACCCCGCUCAGAGCCAGCGCCGGGCUUCAGCUUCCCAUCCCGCCUGGGGACCGAGCCGCCAGCCGCAGCCAUGACCCCCAGCCUGGCCAUCGCCUUCCUCCUGUUGCUCCCCGCGGGUGUCUAUUCCCAGGUCAGCCUGGUGGAGUCCGGAGGGGGAGUCAAGAAACCUGGAGAGACCCUCAGACUGACCUGCACCGUGUCCGGAUUCUCUCUCACUAGCUACGCGGUGCACUGGGCCCGCCAGCCAGCGGGAAAAGGGCUGGAAUCGAUGGGAGGUAUCUGGGCUGAUGGAAGCACUAACUAUAACGAUGCUCUCAAAAGUCGACUCGCCAUCACAAGAGACACCUCCAAAGGCCACGUAUCCCUCCAACUGACCGGUCUGCAGCCCGGGGACACCUCCGUGUAUUACUGUGUCAGAUACGCACUGUGUGAAAAUCCUAUUAAAGCCUGCACUAAAACUAACCUUGCGGAGAACCAGUCUGGGUUUAUGAGCCCCAGGGAGGAGCAGCUGCCAACACUGCUUCUGCCUUGUGUUACAAGCACUCCAGAAUCUAACCCCUUAGCACUGAAAGGCAGCCAUUGCAUCAGAGCUCCCAAGGCUGGUAGUGGAACCCAGGAGUCCUGGCUGCUGCAUUUAAUCUCUGGUGUCCCUAAGAAAUGA